AUUGAACGCUGGCGGCAGGCCUAACACAUGCAAGUCGAACGAGUGGCGGACGGGUGAGUAAUGUCUGGGAAACUGCCUGAUGGAGGGGGAUAACUACUGGAAACGGUAGAUAAUACCGCAUACCAUCAGAUUUGCACAGAUGGGAAUAGCUUGUUGGUGGGGUAACGGCUCACCAAGGCCACGAACCAUAGCUGGUCUGAGAGUAUUACCGGCCACACGGGAACUGAGACACGGUCCAGACUCCUACGGGAGGCAGCAGUGGGGAAUAUUGCACCAUGGGCGCAAUCCUGAUUCAGCAAUGCCGCGUGUAUGAAUAAGGCCUUCGGGUUGUAAAGUACUUUCAUCGGGGAGGCGUUACCCGCAGAAGAAGCACCGGCUAACUCCGUGCCAGCAGCCGCGGUAAUUC
rnacentral:rRNA from 1 species